rnacentral:rRNA from 1 species
GGGUCAGUAGGUUGGUCGUGCCACCGGUACGUACUGGUCUCACUGAUUCCUCCUUCCUGAAGAACCGUAAUGCCAUUAAUUUGGUGUUGCGGGGAAACAGGACUGUUACUUUGAAAAAAUUAGAGUGUUUAAAGCAAGCUAACGCUUGAAUAGAUUAGCAUGGAAUAAUGAAAUAGGACGAUCGAUCCUAUUUUGUUGGUUUCUAGGAUUGACGUA